rnacentral:misc_RNA from 1 species
GAUGAAGAACGUAGUGAAAUGCGAUAAUUAAUGUGAAUUGCAGAAUUCCGUGAAUCAUCGAGUCUUUGAACGCACAUUGCGCCUCAUGGCAUUCCGUGAGGCAUGCCCAUCUCAGCGUUAGAAAAUAUUCUCAAAUUUUAGUUUUGUGCUAAAAUUUGGAUCAUGUCAAGGAAGCUAUUACUAUUAUUGUGAUCGCUCUUUGGAAAUUGGUAGGUCUUUGAGUUGCUACUCAUAGAACGUGAUGAAUCUUUCUUCGUUCUAUUGUAAUUCACUCUGGUAGUCCUAAAACUUGUAUGCCUGUGGCAUAUCUUGUAAUUUGACCUGAGAUUGGGUAGGGAUACCCGCUGAACUUAAGCAUAUCAAUAAGCGGACGA